CAACAGGGAUUGCCCUAGUAACGGCGAGUGAAGCGGCAACAGCUCAAAUUUGAAAUCUGGCUCUUUUAGAGUCCGAGUUGUAAUUUGCAGAGGGCGCUUUGGCUUUGGCAGCGGUCCAAGUUCCUUGGAACAGGACGUCACAGAGGGUGAGAAUCCCGUACGUGGUCGCUGGCUAUUGCCGUGUAAAGCCCCUUCGACGAGUCGAGUUGUUUGGGAAUGCAGCUCUAAAUGGGAGGUACAUUUCUUCUAAAGCUAAAUAUUGGCCAGAGACCGAUAGCGCACAAGUAGAGUGAUCGAAAGAUGAAAAGCACUUUGGAAAGAGAGUCAAACAGCACGUGAAAUUGUUGAAAGGGAAGCGCUUGCAGCCAGACUUGCUUGCAGUUGCUCAUCCGGGCUUUUGCCCGGUGCACUCUUCUGCAGGCAGGCCAGCAUCAGUUUGGGCGGUAGGAUAAAGGUCUCUGUCACGUACCUCUCUUCGGGGAGGCCUUAUAGGGGAGACGACAUACUACCAGCCUGGACUGAGGUCCGCGCAUCUGCUAGGAUGCUGGCGUAAUGGCUGUAAGCGGCCCGUCUUGAAACACG
rnacentral:rRNA from 1 species